rnacentral:rRNA from 1 species
AUUGAACGCUGGCGGCAGGCCUAACACAUGCAAGUCGAACGAGUGGCGGACGGGUGAGUAAUGUCUGGGAAACUGCCCGCUGGAGGGGGAUAACUACUGGAAACGGGAGCUAAUACCGCAUACCAUCGGAUGUGCCCCGAUGGGAUUAGCUAGUAGGUGGGGUAACGGCUUACCUAGGCGACGAUCCCUAGCUGGUCUGCGAGGAUGACCGGCCACACUGGCACUGAGACACGGUCCAGACGCCUACGUGAGGGAGCAGUGGGGAAUAGUGCACAAUGGGCGCAAGCCGGAUGGAGCCAUGCCGCGUGUAUGAAGAGGGCCUUCGGGUUUUAAAGUACUUUAAGUGAGGAGGCGUUACUCGCAGAAGAAGCAUCGGCUAACUCCGUGCCAGCAGCCGCGGUAAUUC